rnacentral:rRNA from 1 species
GAUGAACGCUAGCGAGAUGCCUAACACAUGCAAGUCGAACGCUUCGGCGUGGCAAACGAGUGAGUAACACGUGCUUAACGUGCCCUUCAGUGGGGGAUACCUGUGGAAACACAACUAAUCCCGCAUACGAUCCAAGAAAUGAAAAUACUUGGAUGAAAGAUUUAUCGCUGAAGGAGCGGGGCGCGGCCUAUUAGUUAGUUGGUGAGGUAAUGGCUCACCAAGACGAUGAUGGGUAGCUGGUCUGAGAGGAUGAUCAGCCACGAUGGAACUGAGACACGGUCCAUACCCCUACGGGGGGCAGCAGUGGGGAAUAUUGCACAAUGGACGAAAGUCUGAUGCAGCAAUCUCGCGUGAAGGAUGAAGCAUUACGGUGUGUAAACUUCUUUUUUGGAGGAAGACGACUGACUGUACUCCAAGAAUAAGGGACGGCUAACUACG